UACGAAGGGGGCUAGCGUUGCUCGGAAUCACUGGGCGUAAAAGGCGCGUAGGCGGCCAUUCAAGUCGGAGGUGAAAGCCCAGGGCUCAACCCUGGAAUUGCCUUCGAUACUGUUUGGCUAGAGACCGGAAGAGGUAAGUGGAACUGCGAGUGUAGAGGUGAAAUUCGUAGAUAUUCGCAAGAACACCAGUGGCGAAGGCGGCUUACUGGUCCGGUUCUGACGCUGAGGCGCGAAAGCGUGGGGAGCAAACAGG
rnacentral:rRNA from 1 species